rnacentral:rRNA from 1 species
UUUUAUUUGAGAGUUUGAUCCUGGCUCAGGAUGAACGCUGGCGGCGUGCCUAACACAUGCAAGUUGAGCGAUUUACUUCGGUAAAGAGCGGCGGACGGGUGAGUAACGCGUGGGUAACCUACCCUGUACACACGGAUAACAUACCGAAAGGUAUGCUAAUACGGGAUAAUAUAUUUGAGAGGCAUCUCUUGAAUAUCAAAGGUGAGCCAGUACAGGAUGGACCCGCGUCUGAUUAGCUAGUUGGUAAGGUAACGGCUUACCAAGGCGACGAUCAGUAGCCGACCUGAGAGGGUGAUCGGCCACAUUGGAAC